UUCACUCUAAUAUGCUUUACUUUAUCUUUGAUUGCAAACGUAAAUCGUCAAAUAUUUCUUGCAAUAAAUAAAAGUGAGUAACUAAAGAGCUUUGCAUUAACAUAAAAAUAAAAAAUUCAUGCAUCAUUUGCAUCUUUAAAAAAAACACAAACUUAUCCAUCCAUCUUUUUCUUUAUCAUAACCAUACUCCAAAGUUGACUUUUGGAUACAAUACGUGAAGACAUCAACAUGUCGUCA
rnacentral:lncRNA from 1 species